rnacentral:lncRNA from 1 species
ACCCCAGCUUGGCUGGCGACGACAACGGGUCAGGAAUCGACAAGCGCAAGUGAUGAAAGAUUGAAACUGAAGUUACUACUGUUCAAGGAAGAAUGCCUGAUAGAUAUAGAGAGAUAUCAUAGCCUGCUGAGAAUAAGCAGAAAGGGCCUCCUGCUGAAAUCAAAGCAAGAAGCUCUGCAGCGGACAAGAUGCGAUGAUUGGUUGGUUCAUCACGAGAUUCAGAGAUCAUUGAUUAGAAGUUAGCAUUCUCCAAUUGUGGUUGUAAC